rnacentral:rRNA from 1 species
UUUAAUUCGAUGCUAACCGAAGAACCUUACCUGGGCUUGACAUCCUGGUAAUCCUGCAGAGAUGCGGUGAGUGCCCUUCUGGGAACCCAGAGACAGAACGCUGCGUG